rnacentral:lncRNA from 1 species
CUCUCACAUGCAGGUUUUUACAAGGAGAUGUGUUUUCAACUGAGCUGAGAGAAUGACACCCUUAUGACUGCAGAGAGCACUGCUCAGCUGCCUCUCCAGUUCACCACUCUUCUGUGAUCCCCUCUACAUGGAUCUUUCCUUCUGCUCCGAACACUCACAGACAACUGAGAAGGAGGGGCACAUCGACACUCCUGGAAGCAGCGCUGAUUCUUGGUGAAGGGGAAGCUGCGCAGUGAACAGGUGAGAAGCAGUGAGUGAGCUGCAGCCAGUGGUGCAAGUGCAGAAGGCCACAGUCUCAC